rnacentral:SRP_RNA from 1 species
GCCAGGUGUAGUGGCGCGUGCCUGUGGUCCCAGCUACUCGGGAGGCUGAGGCGGGAGGAUCUCUUGAGCCCAGGAGUUCUGGGCUGUAGUGCAUUAUGCCGAUCGGGUGUCCACACUAAGUUCAGCAUCAAUAUGGUGACCUCCCGGGAGCGGGGGAUCACUAGGUUGCCUAAGGAGGGGUGAACCGGCCCAGGUUGGAAACGGAGCAGGUCAAAACUUCCAUGCUGAUCAGUAGUGGGAUCCCGCCUGUGAAUAGCCACUGCACUCCAGCCUGGACAACACAGACCUUCU